rnacentral:rRNA from 1 species
AUUGAACGCUGGCGGCAGGCCUAACACAUGCAAGUCGAACGGUAACAGGAAGCAGCUUGCUGCUUCGCUGACGAGUGGCGGACGGGUGAGUAAUGUCUGGGAAACUGCCUGAUGGAGGGGGAUAACUACUGGAAACGGUAGCUAAUACCGCAUAACGUCGCAAGACCAAAGAGGGGGACCUUAGGGCCUCUUGCCAUCGGAUGUGCCCAGAUGGGAUUAGCUAGUAGGUGGGGUAACGGCUCACCUAGGCGACGAUCCCUAGCUGGUCUGAGAGGAUGACCAGCCACACUGGAACGGAGACACGGUCCAGACUCCUACGGGAGGCAGCAGUGGGGAAUAUUGCACAAUGGGCGCAAGCCUGAUGCAGCCAUGCCGCGUGUAUGAAGAAGGCCUUCGGGUUGUAAAGUACUUUCAGCGGGGAGGAAGGGAGUAAAGUUAAUACCUUUGCUCAUUGACGUUACCCGCAGAAGAAGCACCGGCUAACUCCGUG